rnacentral:rRNA from 1 species
UACGUAGGGUGCGAGCGUUAAUCGGAAUUACUGGGCGUAAAGCGUGCGCAGGCGGCUUUGCAAGACAGAUGUGAAAUCCCCGGGCUCAACCUGGGAGCUGCAUUUGUGACUGCAAGGCUAGAGUACGGCAGAGGGGGAUGGAAUUCCGCGUGUAGCAGUGAAAUGCGUAGAUAUGCGGAGGAACACCAAUGGCGAAGGCAAUCCCCUGGGCCUGUACUGACGCUCAUGCACGAAAGCGUGGGGAGCAAAAGGG